rnacentral:lncRNA from 1 species
AACACUGUGAGAAGACAGAGAAACCAUUUAUUUCUUGAGAGCAGUUAACUGAAUUUGACCCUUAUAUUAUGGUUAACUAAGAAAAGGAUUCUGAAGAGACUUUGGCUACUACCCUGAGAACUGUGAAGAUUGGAUUUGUCUCUCUCCUAAUUCUAACAAUGAAGGUACUUAGCUCUUCCUUGAUUGUGAAGAUUAAAUUGUAAUCCCCUAUUUUUUAGAUUUUAAUCCCCAAAGUAUAAAGCACAGUACUUAAAGUUGAGUAUGGAGAUCUACCCAUUUUGGAUUUUAACCACAAAAAGGUAUGAACACCCAUUUCAUACAUUGAGUGAGAAGUCUGUGACCCAUGUGUGAAAGAGUGGGCAGUCCUGGAGUGGAGCGUCAGCUGUGAUUGGUAGAUGUAAAAUUUAGGGGAAGUGACACAAGAGAAAAAGGUCUUUACAAGUAGAAAAAGAGAUACACAGAGGAUAGACACUUGAAGGGAGACACUUGGAGUGAAGAGAGACACUUGGAGUGAAGAGAGUCACUUGGAGUGCAGAGAAACUUGAGAAGACGCUUAAAGGGCAUCACUUGGAGUGAAGAUGGACACUUGGAGUUUGAAAGAAACACACUUGGAGUGGAGCCUGCUGGAGUUGAGGCUCAUAAAAGAAUCUGCUUAUUGAACUGACAGCAUGGAUUCACAGUUGGGAACUGACAGUGUCUCUUUGGAAGAUGACAGAGACGGAGUGGAGGUGUCUCUCUCUGAAGGGAAAAGACUUUGGAGCUGCCAGGAAAUUGGACCAUCUUGAAGGAGUGGUUGAGUGAGUGAAUACCCCACACUGGUGGACAGUGUGUGUGUGUGUUAUUCCUCAUCCCCUCCUGAGUCCUGUGAGGACUCUUCAUCCUGAGACUGCUGUCUGGAUCAAGAAGGACUUUUGCAUGAGGCCCUGUUGACCAAUAUUCCACUCAGAACUUCCAAGACUGGAACUGGACACGGAGGCAAUUGCUGGAGAAAGAAAACCAAUAACAUUAAUAAAUAUUUAACAAUAAAUUUUAAAUAAAAUCCU